GAUGAACGCUGGCGGCGUGCCUAAUACAUGCAAGUCGAGCGAACGGACGAGAAGCUUGCUUCUCUGAUGUUAGCGGCGGACAGGUGAGUAACACGUGGAUAACCUACCUAUAAGACUGGGAUAACUUCGGGAAACCGGAGCUAAUACCGGAUGAUAUUUUGAACCGCAUGGUUCAAAAGUGAAAGACGGUCUUGCUGUCACUUAUAGAUGGAUCCGCGCUGCAUUAGCUAGUUGGUAAGGUAACGGCUUACCAAGGCAACGAUGCAUAGCCGACCUGAGAGGGUGAUCGGCCACACUGGAACUGAGACACGGUCCAGACUCCUACGGGAGGCAGCAGUAGGGAAUCUUCCGCAAUGGGCGAAAGCCUGACGGAGCAACGCCGCGUGAGUGAUGAAGGUCUUCGGAUCGUAAAACUCUGUUAUUAGGGAAGAACAUAUGUGUAAGUAACUGUGCACAUCUUGACGGUACCUAAUCAGAAAGCAACGGCUAACUACGUG
rnacentral:rRNA from 1 species